rnacentral:rRNA from 1 species
CCCUUAGAUGUCCUGGGCCGCACGCGCGCUACACUGACAUGUUCAACAAGUUUCUCCUAGUUCGACAGGACUGGAAAUCUUUGAACGCAUGUCGUGAUAGGGAUAGAUCAUUGCAAUUAUUGAUCUUGAACGAGGAAUUCCUAGUAAACGCGAGUCAUCAGCUCGCAUUGAUUACGUCCCUGCCCUUUGUACACACCGCCCGUCGCACCUACCGAUUGAAUGUUUCGGUGAAGAUUCCGGAUAGGACUGAUUUGAUUUAUUUCAUUUCUGACCUAAAAGCUAUCUAAACCUCAACAUUUAGAGGAAGGUGAAGUCGUAACA